GACGAACGUUGGCGGCGUGCUUAAUACAUGCAAGUCAACCGAAGCAGUGGUAGCAAUAUCGCUGUGGAGGUGGCGCACGGGGGAGUAACACGUAGGUAAUCUGCCUUCAGGUCUGGCAGAACUCCGGGAAACCGGGGCUAAUAGCAGAGGAUGCAGCGGCGCGACAUCGAGACAGUUGGUAAAGCUAGGGCGCCUGAAGAUGAGCCUGCGUCUGAUUAGCUAGUUGGCGGGGUAACGGCGCACCAAGGCAACGAUCAGUCGCUGGUCUGAGAGGAUGAUCAGCCACACUGGCACUGACCCACGGUCCACGCUCCUACGCGGGGCAGCAGUUAGGAAUAUUGCUGAAUGGGUGACAUCCUGACGCCGCAUCGCCGCGUGAGGGCCGAAGGGCUUUUGCUUGUGAUCCUCUGUAGUGAGAGAAAUAAAUCCCACUCUUUGGGACAUGAUGGUAUCUCAACAGUAAGCCCCGGCUAACUACGUG
rnacentral:rRNA from 1 species